rnacentral:lncRNA from 10 species
ACCACUUUUGUUUUCAUCUCGGAGACUGCAUAUCGUGAAUUGCGUAAGUCACUGAGACGAAUAAAUCAUUGAGAGAAGCUAAUCAAUGUCCCUGGAAGUUUAUAUUUCAUCUUCUCUUAGAUAUCUGGUGUGCUGAAAUAACACAGGGUUUCCUACACCUUAGCCUCAUUUAUUUUCAGCAUCAGAAGGACCCUUAAUGACAGGGCCUUUAUGAAGCAUUAGAAAAUUCCAGGGCCAAUAGAUAUUCUGAACAGAAAGUGCUGACUUGAAAAUUCCCUAAACUGAGGAUUGCUGCCGUUACAGCUGCAUGAGCUCUGACAUUAGUUGUUGGUAAAGUGCAUGGGGUCAGGGUUCACCAUGACCUUUUCUUCAGCUAGAAGAGUAAGGGAUGACUGACCACAGAUACAACCCAGAUACUGUGGUACUGCCCAAGUAUCCAGUUCACAGAGAUCCUGCAGUGCUCACAGCUGCUCACUUCCUAUUGGGUUGGCCAUGGAACCCAUGGAAAUAUGCGCAUAUGGAGAAUAUCUUGAGUACAACUUCAGGGAAUUUGAAGACUUUCUGAAGUCCAUCUCAGCACCCCGUGGGGUCCAAACCUCACAGCCACUUCUGCUUUGACUUCAAACCCUACAAGAUGUUUUUCUCCACAAAAUUCAGGAGGAUCAAAGCUGGCUGGAGGACUCUGUGGUAUUGGUUAAUAUCUCCUGAACUGCACUUGCUAAUAAGAAAAGACUUUUACUUCCGCUACAGAUUGGUAUCAGUACUUGUUCUAAUGGACUCCUUAAACAUCCAGAAAUGCACAAUAUUUUCACUUGCCUUUAACUCACCACUUUCUGGGAGGAAGUUCCAUCUCUUAUACACCCAGCAAUAUGACUGUAAGCACAAAACAAGCUGAACCCCAAUGCCACACAUAUCUGAACUAGCCACAUUCUUAACACUGUCACGUCAGCUCAGAUGUGCUCUCCUCCUUUUUCAUCAAAAUGAAACUGUCCCCAGAAUGUCAUUAACCACUAGCUUUGUGUGUAUUCAGGAAUGGCAAAACCCAUGCUGACCUUGGCUCCAUUGCUAGUUGACCCUUCCCACAUUCCCCCUAAAAAGCAAUUUUCUCCUCCCACCGUCUCCAUCAAUCUAGAGUCAUCAAAGAUGAUCAUUACCUGCUACUACCUUCUAGAAGAGUCACCCGCAAAAUUGCUCUUCUGUAUAGUGACCCUGAAUCUCUAGGCUGUUUAAUUUAUUUCACUUCUUUAUAAUUAAAUUAGACUGUCUGAUAUUUGUGUAUUAUGGUUACUUUUUUCUUAGCUUCUCCAUUCUACCACAGCUGCAGAUGCUACCUCAGAAAUCCAUCAUAAGCUUGUGAAGGUAGCAGAAACGGCAGGCGCUGAAUUAUUUGGAUAUCGCUGACAAAGCCUUUGUUAUUCCCUCCUUUGGUGUCCCUACAGGGCAAUUUUCAAAGUCCCUGGAGUCCUCUGGGGGGUCCCUAAGAUACUUCAAAGAGGCCAUGGGUUCAAAAGUAUUUUCAUAAAAAUACUAAGGUAUUAUCUGCCUUUUUCAUUGCAUCAUCAUUUGAACUGAUGGUUCAAAAGCAGUUAUAGCUACAAGUGCCAGUACCUUAGUUUGAAUCAAGGCAGUGGCACCAAACUGUGUAGUAGUCCUAUUUGUCAUCACUGUGUACUCACAGGAAAAAAAAAUCCAGUGUAACUUAAUAAUGUUCUGGUGAAGCAGUAAAAUAAUAUUAAUUGUAUUAAAUCCCGACCCCUGAGUGCAACAAAAUGAGAGGUAUACGUAAAGCACUUUGCUGCUUACUCAAGUACAAUAUACAUCUAUGCAGAUAUCUGAGUUGAGAGCUGAACUAGCUGGGUUUUCUUUUCAUGGAACACCAUUUUACUUGAAAGAAUGACUGACAAACUAAGGUUAUUUAUACUUAGGUGUUUGGCAGACAUUUUGUCAAAAAUGAACAAAGUGAACUUGUCACUUCAGGGAAAACAACUGAGAGUAUUUGUUGCCAACAAAAAAAAGUUCAGCUUUGAAACAAAAUUUAGAAUUUUGGAAAAUUUGUAACUGCCACUGUGAGCUUGACAGCUUCCCCGAUACUUUAAGGCUUUUCUGAUAAGACUGGUGUGAUAGUAAUGAAUGUGAUCUGUUGAUACUGCCUUAUGAAAUGUGUCAACAUUUGGAAAAUCUAUUUAACUCAGUGAAGCAACAUUUUCCAAAUGACCAAUGCAUGAUGUUACAAAAUCAGACAUGGGUAAAAGGUCCAUUCGAAGUGCAAAACAGAAUAGUUGAUUUUAAGGUAAUGGUAUGACGAACAGGAAAAUUUCAUUGGUAAUAGUUUCAGAUUCUGCAUUGCAAUUAUCUUUUAAGAAACUGCUGCUUGUGGAGUUUUGGUGUAGUAUCACAGAAUAAUAACAAUUAUCUACAAAGGUUACUAAAUACUCUUUCUCAAUGUGAGAGGCUGGAUCUUCUUCACAUACUUCAAUCAAAACAACGUAUCGCAAUAGAUGGAAUGCAGAAGCAAAUGUGAGAAUCCACUUACCUUGUAUUAAGCCAGACAUUGAAGAGAUUUACAAAAAUAAAAUAUUGCUCUUCUCACUAAAUGUUUGUUUUUGAAAAUAUUGUUACUUUUUGUUAAAAUAUGUUAACAUGUAUACUUACUGCUUUUUAAGAAAAAAUUCUUUUUAACAUUUCUGUUUUAAUUUCUAAUAUAAUAGAUACCAAUAAAUAUAACCCAUAUAAAUGAGAGUUCUUUGGAGUUAUUAAUAAUUUGUAAGAGAGCAAAGGAGUCCUAAGACCAAAAACUUGAGGCCUUCUGUUCUAUUUCAUGCCAUGGUUUGCAUAGCAAAAUUAUCUGUUGUCUAACUCAUAAGUUAGACAUUACUUCAAGGUAGCCAUCUGCACACAAAUGUUUUGUAUUUGCAUGUAUGGCAAAAAAUAGACUAAAUUUCUAAAAUUUUGUGUACCUUAAUAAGCAAGCUCUGUAAAGUUAAAUUUGUAAAAUUUUGCAUUAAAUAAACUAAGAACACCUGUUUUACAAUGGUCUAGUGUCCUAGACCACUAAAUUUUUCAGUAUGUUGAAUAUAAUCAUUCUUACAAGCAAAAAUCCUUAAGGAAAAGACAUAUGGUUAACUUUGUGUUUUUUUCUUUUCGAAUAUAUGUAUUUAAUGCUAUAAAAUGUCCUGUAAGCACUGUUUUUACUGCAUCCUACAAAUUUUGAUGUCAUAUUUUAAUUUUCUUUUUUAUUAAAUAUUUUAACUUUCAUUUUAGGUUCAGGGAUACAUGUGCAGGUUUGUUAUAUAGGCAAACUCACAACUUGGAAAUUUCACGUACAGAUUCUUUCAUCACCCAGGCACUAAGCAUAGUGCCCAACAGUUUCUUUUCUCUGAAUCUCUCUCUCCUCUCCCCUUCCUUCCUCCCCAGUAUCUGUUGUUCGCCUCUUUCUGUCCAUGUGUUCUCCUUAUUUAGCUCCCUCUCAUUAGUGAUAACAUGUGGUAUUCGGUUUUCUGUUCCUGUUUUAAUUCACUUAGGAUAAUGGCUUCCAACUACAUCCGUGUUGCUGUAAAGGACAUGAUUUUUUACUUUGUUACGG